UGGGGAAUAUUGGACAAUGGGCGAAAGCCUGAUCCAGCCAUGCCGCAUGAGUGAAGAAGGCCUUUGGGUUGUAAAGCUCUUUUAGUGAGGAAGAUAAUGACGGUACUCACAGAAGAAGUCCUGGCUAACUCCGUGCCAGCAGCCGCGGUAAUACGGAGAGGGCUAGCGUUAUUCGGAAUUAUUGGGCGUAAAGGGCGCGUAGGCUGGUUAAUAAGUUAAAAGUGAAAUCCCGAGGCUUAACCUUGGAAUUGCUUUUAAAACUAUUAAUCUAGAGAUUGAAAGAGGAUAGAGGAAUUCCUGAUGUGGAGGUAAAAUUCGUAAAUAUUAGGAGGAACACCAGUGGCGAAGGCGUCUAUCUGGUUCAAAUCUGACGCUGAAGCGCGAAGGCGUGGGGAGCAAACA
rnacentral:rRNA from 1 species